AAAUAGGCUGAAAAACAGCUUCUAUCCCAGGGCAGUAACUAUAUUGAAUUCUACUGCAUAGUGCAAUAUUAAUGCAAUAUUGGUUUCAAUUCAAUUGUAUAGAAUGUGAAGAAGGUGUGUUUGUGUUUUAUUUUUUUAUUAUAAUGUACACUGAAGACGGCAUUUAAUUUCAUUGUACGAGGUGCAAUGACAAUAAAGUAAAGUAAAUAUUUCUGCUAUACAAAAGGUUCAAUAUGCUCCUUCCAUCUUUGGUCUUCUUUGGAUCAGUUACUCCUAGGGAUAACCCCAUGCCAAUAAACCAAAAUCAAAAGGCUUAAAAUCGCACCAAAACUUUAUUUAUAGUCCAAGACCAAAUACAAGGCUUAAAAACAAUCCUUGAGAACACAACAAUAAUGAGUAAUGUUGAUUUGGGACAAACGAUAUCCAUUCCAUUUUUGCUUUGCUUUUCCAUUUUCCAGGUUCUCACCAUCCACACACAGCCACAGGCUGUGAGGACAAGCCUCCUCAGGACUAUGCUGGGCUUCAGAAGAUUAAUGCCACCCCUGCAACUUUGACUCCAGAAGCCAUCCAUAAAAAGAUAACUUGCCCAACAACCACCCCCAGUUCAACAGCCACAAUAAAUGCCAAUGAAACUUACAAUGCCACAGAAAAUGCACCAGAGGCCACUAAUUUACCCUUCUACACCUCACCUAAUAGCACUGACAGCAAUGUGCCAUCAAAUCCCACCUGUUUGCAAGGCUGGGCCAUUUUUCUUAUCUUCUUAUCUGCCCUAUUGGCAAUGGUCCUCCUAGCUGGUCUCCCAGUUAUGCUCUGGUACUUCUUUCAUCGCCGACACUUACAGGCUCAGCAACCGUGUGCCCGAUAUAACCACAAAGUCUAUGUGGCUCCAGAGGAACAAAGCUUACCGGUAGAAUGAAGAAGAUCCAACCCCAAGAUCUCCAGUGCGCCAACUAUUUUAUGACACAAACUAGACAUUUGUUUUCAAUUCAUUGUUUUCAAGGCAACAACAACAAGACAUGGAAGCUCAGGAAAGUAGACCUGUUUUUGCAGAAAGCUGAUGUGGAGAUGUCUUCAAGCCAUUGGCACUUUGACUGUUGAUGGAACCCAUCAAGUACCAAUCCCCGCCUAUCUUCUGCUCCCUGUAUGUGAACAUAGAGGAAAAAUCCAUCCUAGUGUACCUACACAGGAACUUUAUCUUUAUUUAAGAUCAAAAAUAUUCCCCUUAUUUUUCUUCUUGAUGAUGGAAUCAGGAGAUCAUGGCCGCCUUGCUGGGAAAUGAGGCUGGGGGCUGGGUGGAGAAGAAGAAACCUUAAAUUUUGGGAGAUCAAAAGAUAAACAAUAUUGGGCAGAUGGAGAAGGAAGCACGUACAGCAUUUCUGCCCCCAAAUGCAGUUAUGUAAAGGGUAGGAAUUUAGGAUUAAAAGGCAUUAUUAUUUCAUACUCUAGGGGAGAAUAACGGGAAUGGGUAAUCCUGUUCUUUUUGCACCUUGGAAUUGGUGUUAAUCAGAGGUGGUACUCAGCAGGUUCUGACCAGUUCUGGAGAACCGGUAGCAGAAAUUUUGAGUAGUUUGGAGAACCGGUAAAUACCACCUCUGACUGGCCCCGCCCCCAUCUAUUCUCUGCCUCCCGAGUCCCAGCUGAUCAGGAGGAAAUGGGGAUUUUGCAGUAUCCUUCCUCUGCUACAUCCACCAAGCCACGCCCACAGAACCAGUAAAAAAAAAUUAUCCCACCACUAACCACCCAAAACAUGUGGUGUUUUACAAAGCAAAUGGAGCAUCAACAAUAUAUUUUGAUCCUAAUAAAUCAAUGUAAGAAUUGUUUCCUCGAUUAGAGGGAUUUCACAUCAUUCCAUCUAAAGCAAAGGCCAGCAGAUUAAACCCAACACCAAAGCAAUUCUAUACCAAGGUUUUAAAUUCAAAGAUUUUCCUCUUCCAGGAAAUCUGGUAGGAUGGGGUAUAGAAUGGGACAAUAAAAAGGUUUUUUUUUUAAAUUGAGCUUAACCCACCAAAAGACAAAUAAACAACACAGAAAGUUAUAAAGAAAGAAAGAAAAACAAAAGGGAACUCUCUAUUGGUUGGAUGGGCAGUAUUGUUGGGUAGGGCAGAUCCUGUAAUUUGUCAAUUUAUUUAUUUAUUUAUUUUAUUGGAUUUCUAUACCGCUCUACUCCCAAAGGACCUUCAGGGUGGUGAACAGCCACAGAAUAAAACACAUAGAUACAAAAUUUAAAAUACAAUAAAAAUGAAUUAAAUAAUUUGGCUGAGACAAAAUUAAAAUACCCAAUAAUUUAAAAAUAAAUUAAAAUUUACAUUUAAAAGGGGAGAAGGUUUAGGCCAGGCCAGCUUGAUGAAAUAAGAAAGUCUUGAGCGCGCGACGGAAUGAUUCAUACACUUGGGUGGCAUGUCCAUGAUUCCAUUAAAGUGUGCCUUGUUGUUGUUUUUCUCAACCCCUCUAAAAUGUGCCUUCAAACUUGCAAGAUUCUGUUCCUAUAACUUUACAAUAAAAGUAAUAUUGAUCU